AUUGAACGCUGGCGGCAGGCUUAACACAUGCAAGUCGAGCGGGGAAGGGUAGCUUGCUACCUAACCUAGCGGCGGACGGGUGAGUAAUACUUAGGAAUCUGGCUAUUAGUGGGGGAGAACAUUUCGAAAGGGAUGCUAAUACCGCAUACGUCCUACGGGAGAAAGCAGGGGAUCAGUAAUGACCUUGCGCUAAUAGAUGAGCCUAAGUCGGAUUAGCUAGUUGGUGGGGUAAAGGCCUACCAAGGCGACGAUCUGUAGCGGGUCUGAGAGGAUGAUCCGCCACACUGGGACUGAGACACAGCCCAGACUCCUACGGGAGGCAGCAGUGGGGAAUAUUGGACAAUGGGGGGAACCCUGAUCCAGCCAUGCCGCGUGUGUGAAGAAGGCCUUAUGGUUGUAAAGCACUCUAAGCGAGGAGGAGGGUACUGGUAUUAAUACUACCAGCUACUGGACGUUACUCGCAGAAUAAGCACCGGCUAACUCUGUGCCAGCCGCCGCCGUAA
rnacentral:rRNA from 1 species